GACGAACGCUGGCGGCGUGCUUAACACAUGCAAGUCGAACGAUGAAGAAAAGAAUCGAAGCUUCGGCAGAAAUUCAUUUCGGAUUAGUGGCAGACGGGUGAGUAACGCGUGAGCAACCUACCUCUUACAAAGGGAUAGCCUCGGGAAACCGGGAUUAAUACCAUAUAACAUUGCGACGAAGCAUUUCGAUGCAAUCAAAGCUACGGCGGUAAGAGAUGGGCUCGCGUCCCAUUAACCGGAUGGUGAGGUAACGGCUCACCAUAGUGACGAUGGGUAACCGGGCUGAGAGGGUGAACGGUCACACUGGAACUGAGACACGGUCCAGACUCCUACGGGAGGCAGCAGUGGGGAAUAUUGCACAAUGGAGGGAACUCUGAUGCAGCGACGCCGCGUGAGUGAUGAAGGAAUUCGUUUCGUAAAACUCUGUUCUAUGGGAAGAAAAGGACUGUACCAUAGGAGAGAGCUCCGGCUAAAUACGUG
rnacentral:rRNA from 1 species